AACCUAGCACACCUGCGGUGUGUACCUGCGGAGGGAUCAUUAACCUUUCAAAUCAGGGUGCGGCGCGGCCCCCGAGGAGCGGAAACAAUCCUUGGGAGGUAUGCGGGGGCUUCGAGCCCCCCAUUUACGCACGCGCGACUGCCAUCCUUACUUUACGAGCACCUUCUGUUCUCCCUCGGCGGGGCAACCUGCCGUUGGAACCGAAUAAACUCUUUUUGCAUCUAGCAUUACCUGUUCCGA
rnacentral:misc_RNA from 1 species